UACGUAGGGCGCAAGCGUUGUCCGGAAUUAUUGGGCGUAAAGCGCGCGUAGGCGGUCUGUUGCGUCCGCUGUGAAAACUCGGGGCUUAACCCCGAGCCUGCAGUGGAUACGGGCAGACUAGAGGUAGGUAGGGGAGAAUGGAAUUCCCGGUGUAGCGGUGAAAUGCGCAGAUAUCGGGAGGAACACCGGUGGCGAAGGCGGGUCUCUGGGCAGUAACUGACGCUGAGGAGCGAAAGCGUGGGGAGCGAACAGG
rnacentral:rRNA from 1 species